AAUAUAUACCGUAUUAAAAAACAAAACUAAGUGCAAUGACCUUCAUACUCCUUCCUUUCACACAAAUUGGGACAUAAGGAGUGUUUAUUUAUCCAAAGUUGAACCCCCCUUUACAAAAAAUUUGCUACGUCACUGAUUGGAUCAUCUCAAUGCAAAAGUAUAAUUAUUCUAUAGAUAAUCUAGAUGCAGAGAAAGUAAUUUAAGACCGGACAUAUUUUCUUAUUUUAUAUAAUGUUCAACUUUGGUUAAAUGCAUCUACAAGGCC
rnacentral:lncRNA from 1 species